rnacentral:rRNA from 1 species
UACGGGGGGGGCAAGCGUUGUUCGGAAUUACUGGGCGUAAAGGGUGCGUAGGCGGCUUUCUAAGUUGGAUGUGAAAACUCUGGGCUCAACCCAGAGCCUGCAUCCAAAACUGGAGAGCUUGGGUACUGGAGGGGAAAGCGGAAUUCCUGGUGUAGCGGUGAAAUGCGUAGAUAUCAGGAGGAACACCGGUGGCGAAGGCGGCUUUCUGGACAGUUACCGACGCUGAGGCACGAAAGCUAGGGGAGCAAACAGG